ACCUUGGUAGUUCAGUCAGUAGAGCACGAGACUUAAAUCUCAGGGUUGUGGGUUUGAGCCCCACAUUGGGCA